AUUGGCUAGGGGUAAUGCUAGAGAGGCCAUUCUGGUGUCUUUUCCGCCUUGCUUGGUCUGAAACAUACGCGUAGGACCUACGGCCUCCAUCUUGGAUCAUCCGGGUUACUUUCGGUUUCAGUUAUGGCUCAGGUGGAAAAGAAGGUUUUUCGCUCAGGAGUUGGAGCAGAACACUGCAGUUUUUGAACCAUUGUGGAUAUACUGUUUUGGACCGAAACGCUUCAUUGGAUUAUGUUUUCUGGAUCCUAACGAACAGAAUGACACCACACUCGACGUGAAUGAACGAUGUCUGGGGCUCAGAAGUCGUCAAAAUUCAUCCCUGGGUCGUGAGGGUCUGCAGCUAUUCCAGCAUUCAGUGUGAGGAAGCCCCACUGGGCAGGUAAACAGUCUACGGCAGCGCUCAUG
ensembl:lncRNA